UACGUAGAAGACUAGUGUUAUUCAUCUUUAGUAGGUUUGAAGGGUACCUAGACGGUAUAAUUAGUCUUAAAUAGGAUACGGUUAUACUAGAGUUAUAUAUGAGGAGGUGAGUAUUUAUGGAGUAGAGUUGAAAUUCUUUGAUACCAUAACGACUGAUAACGGCGAAAGCAACCUUUUAUCUAAUAACUGACGUUGAGGGACGAAGG
rnacentral:rRNA from 1 species